CACGGGGGAUGCGAGCGUUAUCCGGAAUUAUUGGGCGUAAAGCGCCUGCAGGUGGCCCCCCAAGUCUCACGUCAAAGGCCGGGGCUUAACCCCGGAAAGGCGUGAGAAACUGUUGGGCUAGAGGGAGGCUGGGGUAGAGGGAACUCCUAGUGUAGCGGUAAAAUGCGCAGAUAUUAGGAAGAACACCGGCGGCGAAGGCGCUCUACUGGGCCAUCCCUGACACUCAGAGGCGAAAGCUGAGGGAGCGAGAGGG
rnacentral:rRNA from 1 species